CACCUUACGGGAGGCAGCAGUAGGGAAUCUUCCACAAUGGACGAAAGUCUGAUGGAGCAACGCCGCGUGAGUGAAGAAGGGUUUUGGCUCGUAAAGCUCUGUUGGUAGUGAAGAAAGAUAGAGGUAGUAACUGGCCUUUAUUUGACGGUAAUUACUUAGAAAGUCACGGCUAACUACGUGCCAGCAGCCGCGGUAAUACGUAGGUGGCAAGCGUUGUCCGGAUUUAUUGGGCGUAAAGCGAGUGCAGGCGGUUCAAUAAGGCUGAUGUGAAGGCCUUCGGCUCAACCGGAGAAUUGCAUCAGAAA
rnacentral:rRNA from 1 species